AACGCACCUUGCGCUCCUUGGUAUUCCGAGGAGCAUGCCUGUUUGAGUGUCAUGGUAUUCUCAAUCCAUUUGUCUCUGUCAAAUGGCAUUGGAUGUGGAGGAUUUUGCUGGUCUUGUUUCUGAUCGGCUCCUCUGAAAUAUAUCAGCAUGAAUAUGUUGCUGCCUUCAGUGUGAUAAUUAUCUACGCUGUGUGGCUUGGCUUUACUAUGUUUUAUGCUUUCUAAUCGUCUGUUAAUUCGGACAAUUUUAUUGACAUCUGACCUCAAAUCAGGUAGGACUACCCGCUGAACUUAA
rnacentral:misc_RNA from 1 species